GCUUAGAGGCAGAAACACCAUCUGUCACGCGAGUGAGAGCAACCUGCGAUUUCCCACUCGAAGAAACCUCUUUGGAAUCUUCUCACUUCGUCCCCAAAGGGAAACUGCCUCGGCUGACUUUCGGUGCAUUUGCGUCUGAGCAGGUUGCUGAGCUCUCUUCCCGCCACCUUUUCUGCCUUUUCCGGGCGACGGUUAUUUUGUGAUGAAGAGAACAGAGCGCUGUUCAGCCUCGGCAUCUUCCCUCCUCCCUUCAACAC
rnacentral:lncRNA from 1 species